rnacentral:sRNA from 21 species
CACAGGAUGCCGAAUUCGGGUCCUGUAUGAACCACUCGCUGAAUGUCAGGAGAUAGCAAAAUGACU